rnacentral:rRNA from 1 species
GAAUAUUGGGCAAUGGGCGAAAGCCUGACCCAGCCAUGCCGCGUGAGUGAUGAAGGCCCUAGGGUUGUAAAACUCUUUCGCGCACGACGAUAAUGACGGUAGUGCGAGAAGAAGCUCCGGCUAACUUCGUGCCAGCAGCCGCGGUAAUACGAAGGGGGCUAGCGUUGUUCGGAAUUACUGGGCGUAAAGCGCGCGCAGGUGGUCCUUCAAGUCAGGGGUGAAAGCCCAGAGCUCAACUCUGGAACUGCCUUUGAGACUGAGGGACUUGGGUACGGGAGAGGUGAGUGGAAUUCCGAGUGUAGAGGUGAAAUUCGUAGAUAUUCGGAAGAACACCAGUGGCGAAGGCGGCUCACUGGCCCGUUACCGACACUCAGGCGCGAUAGCGUGGGGAGCAAACAAG